GGAAGGGCUCACUGAGGAGAUGGCAUUUAGACUGAGACUCAGAUCUGAUUGACAAGAAAACACCCAUGAUGAGACAAGAUGGCUUGGGGAAGGAGGCAGGAUUCCAGGCCCAGAGAACAGCCACUGCCAAGAUCUGGAGACAGGAAAUGUCUUGGUGUGUCCCGGGAUCAAGAGGAAGGCCAGUGUGGCAGGAGCAGAGGGAAUAACAAGGAGAGUGACAGAAGACAAGCGUUUGGAAUACAAGCAAGAAAUCAAGCGUUGCCCCUACUGGGAUCCAUGCUAAGCAGUGGAAGACAUGAUGCUCAUUGGAAGAGAAAGGCACUUAACUCAGACUUGUUGUCGGGGGAGUGGAGAGGACAGUUUCAUUCUGACUUUGACCAUGUGAUUUGCUUUGGCUGGUGGGACAUCAGCAAAGAGAGCAAGCAGAGGUUUGAUAAGGGCCUGCACACUGGGGACUUGCUGUCUUGGAUCUCUGCCCUGGGAUCUUCCCGAUGUGAAGAACCCCGGGAUGAAAGAUCAAGCAAAGAGAAAGAGGUCCAGCCACAUCAGCUGUGCAGCCCCCCAGUACACAGCUGUACAUUCUUCAUUGUGGGUCCUUCUAGUUGUGGCACGUGGGACGCCGCCUCAGCGUGGCUUGAUGAGCAGUGCCAUGUCCGCGCCCAGGAUUCGAACCAACGAAACACUGGGCCGCUUGCAGCAGAGCGCGCGAACUUAACCACUCGGCCACGGGGCCAGCCCCUAAAAAACUGUUCUUAAGGAAAAAUAAAAUUCAAAAUCGAGUGAAAACAAACCUGAAAGCUAGGUGAAGAUACCUCAAAGAAAUGCUGCCUAUGUCACUUUUCCAAGACAACUGACAACUGAAAUCUAUGAGCAACACUUUCUGGCUUGGAAAACCUUCCUAAAGUGUGCAGUUGGUGCACAUGGUCUGCCUCCCGUCACAGUACCCAUAAGGCAUUCACUCAAAGAUGAGGCAUUUGCCUUCGACUUCCUGGAGCUUUUCUGUGCAAUACGAUGAAGGCCAAGGCAGCAUGACUUUGCAACCUUUAUGCAGCAGGAAACGGCUGGUUUAAAACCUGUCUCUGGGUCAGCUCUCCUGUUCAGCUUUCUGUUCUUCAAUUGGCAGAAAAGGGGGGCUACUAGAGAAGCUGAGUGGUGGGGAAAGCUCCCCCUUUCGGUCUGUAAGAAAGUUGAGUUACACUCAGGACCCAGAGCCUCCUCUGCCUGGCUCCCAGGAAAAUGCCCACUGAAGACAGCCGUGAAGAAUCUGGAAAGGUGUGGUCACUUCCUUGGUCACAUUCUCACGUUCACUUUUAUAAUGAUCAUUAGCAAUCAGUCUUAAGAGAUAAAAGUUUAUUUGGAAACUCAGUCAGCAUGUUAACUGUGGUUUAAAGCGAAUGGCUCCCUCUUCUCUCAUUUUAGCCAGAGAUUUACACCCCUUCCAAGCCAGCCCUGGUCUUAUUUAUGUAACUGUACUAGAGAGUGGCUUGAGGUUGCCUCUACAAUAACAAGCUCUAUUUAUGCCUCGUGGGGCUGGGCCCAGGCAGUUAAAGCAACUGAGAUCAAAACAGGCAGCUAGAAAGCAGGAGCAGGCAGCAUGGACAGACUUUUACCAAGACUGUCCCUCCCUUAAACAGUACAGCUUGGGCAUUCUGAUCAUUCAGACCUCAGAUGAUGUGUGGUCCUACGGGACCUCCACCUACUCAGGGUUAUGAAUUGUUUCAGGCACGAAGUCCCCAGAAAUAUGGGCACAAACUUAACAGAAGGCAUUUACUGUUAGUGACAUAAGAAACAGAUAAAAAAGCUUUUUCUGCUGUUGCUGUUUAUCCUGAUAGAAACAAGUAUUAUAAAACUACACUUUUGUGUCAAUUUUUAUUCAAAGAAAC
ensembl:lncRNA